AACUGCGAAUGGCUCAUUAAAUCAGUUAUCGUUUAUUUGAUAGUACCUUACUACAUGGAUACCUGUGGUAAUUCUAGAGCUAAUACAUGCUAAAAACCUCGACUUCGGAAGGGGUGUAUUUAUUAGAUAAAAAACCAACGCCCUUCGGGGCUCCUUGGUGAUUCAUAAUAACUUAACGAAUCGCAUGGCCUUGCGCCGGCGAUGGUUCAUUCAAAUUUCUGCCCUAUCAACUUUCGAUGGUAGGAUAGUGGCCUACCAUGGUGGCAACGGGUAACGGGGAAUUAGGGUUCGAUUCCGGAGAGGGAGCCUGAGAAACGGCUACCACAUCCAAGGAAGGCAGCAGGCGCGCAAAUUACCCAAUCCCGAUACGGGGAGGUAGUGACAAUAAAUACUGAUACGGGGCUCUUUUGGGUCUCGUAAUUGGAAUGAGUACAAUCUAAAUCCCUUAACGAGGAACAAUUGGAGGGCAAGUCUGGUGCCAGCAGCCGCGGUAAUUCCAGCUCCAAUAGCGUAUAUUAAAGUUGUUGCAGUUAAAAAGCUCGUAGUUGAACCUUGGGUCUGGCUGGCCGGUCCGCCUCACCGCGAGUACUGGUCCGGCUGGACCUUUCCUUCUGGGGAACCUCAUGGCCUUCACUGGCUGUGGGGGGAACCAGGACUUUUACUGUGAAAAAAUUAGAGUGUUCAAAGCAGGCCUUUGCUCGAAUACAUUAGCAUGGAAUAAUAGAAUAGGACGUGCGGUUCUAUUUUGUUGGUUUCUAGGACCGCCGUAAUGAUUAAUAGGGAUAGUCGGGGGCGUCAGUAUUCAGCUGUCAGAGGUGAAAUUCUUGGAUUUGCUGAAGACUAACUACUGCGAAAGCAUUCGCCAAGGAUGUUUUCAUUAAUCAGGGAACGAAAGUUAGGGGAUCGAAGACGAUCAGAUACCGUCGUAGUCUUAACCAUAAACUAUGCCGACUAGGGAUCGGACGGUGUUUCUAUAAUGACCCGUUCGGCACCUUACGAGAAAUCAAAGU
rnacentral:rRNA from 1 species